AUACGGGGGAUGCAAGCGUUAUUCGGAAUCAUUGGGCGUAAAGGGCACGCAGGCGGUUCUGUCAGUCAGAUGUGAAAGCCCGGGGCUUAACUCCGGACGUGCAUUUGAAACAGCAGGACUUGAGUAUGGUAGAGGAAAGCGGAAUUCCUGGUGUAGAGGUGAAAUUCGUAGAUAUCAGGAGGAACACCGGUGGCGAAGGCGGCUUUCUGGACCAAAACUGACGCUCAGGUGCGAAGGCUUGGGUAGCGAACAGGAUUAGAAACCCCUGUAGUCC
rnacentral:rRNA from 1 species